CAGCCGCCGCGGUAAUACAGAGGAUGCAAGCGCUAUCCGGAAUGAUUGGGCGUAAAGCGUCUGUAGGUGGCUUUUCAAGUCCGCCGUCAAAUCCCAGGGCUCAACCCUGGACAGGCGGUGGAAACUACCAAGCUAGAGUACGGUAGGGGCAGAGGGAAUUUCCGGUGGAGCGGUGAAAUGCGUUGAGAUCGAAAAGAACACCAACGACGAAAGCACUCUGCUGGGUCGACACUGACACUGAGAGACGAAAGCUAGGGGAGCAAAUGGGAUUAGAUACCCCUGUAGUCCCUGUCUCUUAUAC
rnacentral:rRNA from 1 species